UCAAUGGUGGAGGAUACAUAAGUUUGCCAGGCCUGGACAACUGGCAGAUUCCACCCAGAUGUGGGAGCUAGAGCAUCAGUCUGAUGGCAAGUCUCUUUUUAUUGCUCUCAUUUCUAACCUUUUGUUAUCACAAUGUCAUGUGUCUCUAACCAUUUGUCUUCUUCUUUCUUAUCUCAUAACCAUUUGUCUUCUUCUUUCUUAUCUCAUAACCAUUUGUUAUAAUAUCUAGUGGGAAUUUAUUAAGAGAGUCCCAAUUUAUAAACUGAAAGGUGUCUAGGGUAGAAAGGGGAAAUUUUUUCCAGAUUCUUAUCUUUGUUGAUAGCAAUUCCAGACAGUCCAGUUUCAAGUUGACUACUGUCAGUGUAAAUUGUGAUGUCGAAGAGGGAGCUAUUUUCCUCAAUUAUUUGGAGGCCAAGAGCUUUAAGUAAUUCUGGCUGAGUUUCAUGUUUGUGGGGAUUGGCUGGUAGAUGAGGGAAACAGAUGAGUUUGUUGAGAGUUCUGUGUGGGGGAUAGGAAGUUCUGGGUUUGGGAUUAAUUGGGAUGUCUAAGAGAUUAGAGUUGUGAGCCAUGUUGAGAGGAGUUGGGUGUUUUAGUCUUUGAUUUGGGACCCAAUUUCUAAAAAUUUUCCUAUAAGAUGUUCUUCUGGAGAGUUUUUGGUUAUGAAUUUUGAAAAGCAGGUUUUUCUCCUUAGGUGCAGGGAAAGAAGGUUGUAUUUGAGUUCAGCAAUGCGAUUUGGGCAAGAUCCUUGAAGCCCCCUGAUGAUUUGAGCUGCGCUUGGAUUCUGGAUAUAUUGGUUUUACUUGCAUUGAUCCAGGCUGGUGUAGCAUAUUCCAAAAUAGGUCUUACGAGUGCAAGGUACGUUGUGCGUAAGAUAUUGGCAUUUGCACCCCAGUUAAGCUUGAUAUUUUAUUCAGGAUUGUGAAUCGGCUUUGUUUUAUCAUGGUGUCACUAUGUUUUUUAAAAGUCAGAGCAGGGUCAAGACACACCAAGAUAUCUUGGGGAACCGGAAUAUUGGAUUAUUGAGUUGUUCAAUGAAAUAUUUGGGGUCCACUGGCGAAGGUGGUUGUUGAUGGUGAAGAGGCCAAUUUCAGAUUUGCUGAUGUUUAUUAAUAAUUUCAGUUUCUCUGUUAUCUUUUGCAGAUUUUUCAUGGCUUUAUUCAGAGAGAGUUCUGCAUCAGAGAGGUUGUUUUUGGAGACCCAGAUGAUUCUGUGUAAAAGGCAAAUAAGAUGAUAAUUGAAACUGCUGAUAAUUGGGAUAUAUGAUAAUUGUGACACCAGAUAAUUAGUACUAAUUAUGUCUUCUUCUGUCACCCAAUCAUGAUUAUAUUUGUGACGCCUGAUAAUUGUGACUCCUGAUAUUUGAGACUGCAGAAAUGAUCCCUAAUAAUGUGAAACAUUCCUUUAUACUGGAUUCCAACAAUCAUUGCCAGGACCUGUUUGUUGCAGCACUACUAUGGAGCCUUCACAUGGAGCUCCUGCCAAGGAAACAAGACUGCUUCCAAGGUUCCCUCCUACACCUUCACUUAUCCCAGAGAGGGUUUUGAAGGUCAGAUCCAACCUAUGGUAUAUUAAAUCAAUAAUUUCAGCAAGCAGCCAAUAGAGUUCCUAUGCAGUAGCUUCCUACUGAGUGAUGAUUUAUGAUGAGUGACAAGAAGCACUGUCAAUAUUCACACCGCCAGGCCACAGUCCUAAUAUGAAAUUCAGCAACUUGCUACGCUGAGCCUUACACACCAUUUUUAAACUUGGCUCAUAUUUUAUUACAUAUGUACACCCCUCUUUUUUUUUUUUUUCAGAACUUAUUUGGCAAAAAAAAUGAUACUCACACAAGCACUCUAUGGUAUAUUGCACCAAUAAUUGCAUCAAGCAGCCAAUAGAGUUCCUAUGCAAAGGUUUCCCAGGAUUUAAUCAACCCUGAAUGCCAUCAGGUGUUGUUCCACCAUCUAAUAACAAUAGUCCAUCAUUGAGGUUGGGUUGGUUGGUCCUCUGGUAGGUCAAGCUCCUGGCUGACAUGAGUGUAUUGUGAGGAUUAUUACAAGUUCUCUUUCAUUGGACGUCAGGAAGUUUCUCUGCUAUGUCCACAAAAGGUAACUUGCCCCGUUGAUCUAGCAGAUGUCUUUGAUUAUUGGAGCUCUUUGACAGGCCCAUACCACUAAAAGGAUUCCCUAGAUAAAACUUGUAGGAAUGUAUUUUAACUGUGCACACACAUAUUGUGAAAAUAUACAAGAAUGGAACAUAGCAUUUGUCCAGAAAGUAGGUGGUGUUAGGGGGGGUCUACAUAUUAGUAGAAAAACCAGGUAGCUCUCAUUAAAUCCAAAGGAGAAAGGACAGGGCAUAUUUUAUCCAUUAUUUAUAAGCCAAUAUAGAGCAGUAAAACUAUCUUUGACCUAUCAGAACAUGUAAGAACUAUAAUAUAUAUUACCUGUGCUAUACACACCUUCUCAUAGUAAUAUUUCAACCAAAUUGUGGACAACCUCCAGGUGAGGCUGGAUUAGGCCUUUCAUGGGUGGAGACUUGUGCAUUGUAAAGAAAUCCAUCAAGUAAUGUUCACCUAUUUCUUUGACACCUGAAGUGUUAUUAUGGAGACCUAUCUGUAAGUUGUACAUCUUUAAUUCCUGUAAAUAAUUUCUUGAAAUCUCUCUUUUCCAGAAUCAUACUUGCAAUAUAUGUUCAAUAUUUAAAUGAUUUACCUUUCCAUUUUGAAGCUAUAUAGGAAUUUGCUUCAUGUAUAAGCAGCAACCUAUGUAAGCACACCGUAUAUACACUCUGGUGGAAUAGUUCACUAAGGGUGAUGAACGCAUACUUUUUGUCUAAAAAACUUGUUGGAGUAAGACCAAAGUGAGUGUGUAUGUUGUGUGUGGCGGAGGUGAAUCUGUCCCACGCCCAAGUUUUGACAGCCGCGCAAGGUAGUAGCAACUCAGGAGAUCAGAUUUCUCUACUCUUUUGGCGAGCACUUCGACGACAUCGUUAUUAACGAUCCCACUGUGGCCUUUAAUCCAUCGUAUGGAACACCUAUUCAUGUUGCGGUUCAGUUAUGAAAUCAGCCACAAACCCUGUUGACCAGGAGGUUGCCUGAGUUAAGAACGGAUUUCAAAAAUGAAAGGUUAUCUAGGAGAACUUCAAUAUUAAUAUUUUCAGGAAGCUUUGAGGCAUCCUCAAGUGCUUUAAUCAAGCCUAGUGCCUCCGCUUGGAAGACAGAACAGUACAGGGACAGGACAAAACUCUCACGCAAUUCAUUCAUGGAGCCAUUCGCACACACUCAAUAUAGGCCUGUGCCAACUCCAGUUUUCGUCUUGGAACCAUCUGUGUAGUAGGUGACGUCAGCCGAAAGAUCAGGAAUAUUAAUGGGAGCGGAGUAAUAGGGAGGAUAGGGAAGUGGGUGAGAGCAGGGAGGAGGCUCGACUGGAAAUUCAGCGUCAACAAAACUGUGCUUUUUAAACUACAAUUCCGCCUUGGCGCGACAUCCAGAUCGAGAGGGAGAACACGGGAAAGAGAGAUGAGAGAGCUAUUGUCAGUUGUUUCAAACGCGCGGCAUGUCCUGAUGAGGAACGGGCGCUGCGCGCUUAAGAGAGUGUUUAAGGAUCGUUGUUUAAGAUUAGAAAACCACACAGGAGAAGCGUAAGAAAUGGCUGGAACCACAACCUGUAGAUAAAGCAUCCUCAGGGCACGGAAUCCAAAGCUAAAGUUGGAGCUGGCAGCUGCUGUCAAACGCGGGAGAAAACCGCGGACUCUGGUGCAAACCUCUACCACAUGCUGGUUGAAGGUGAGACGCUGAUCAAACCUUACUCCCAGCACUUUGAUUGAGGCGCUCCAUUGAAUGGGUUGACCAUUAAUGGUCAGAUUGCAGCUAGGCUUUAGUUGUCUGCCAGAAGGUCUUAGAAGGAGCAUGGUCUGACACUUCAUCACGCUAAGUUCCAGUUUAUGCAGGCCACACCACCUCGUGAUCUCGUUAAUGGCAAGUUGCGCCGCUCCAAGUUGAUUAGCAACUUGGCCCGCCACCACCAUAACAAGAUCGUCGGCGUAGGCCUGCGGGUGCACGCAAUUUCUAAAGUUGAGCGUGAGGAGCUCGUCAAAGACAAGGUUCCAAAGAAACGGCCCAAGAACUGAGCCCUGUGGGCAGCCCUUGGAAACCUGUCUCGUGACCGUGCAACCAUUCAUUGACAGUCUGACAACACGAUUAUUGAGGAAGGAACAAAUUAAAACAAACAAGUUCUUUGGACAGUCAUUCAUACAUAGAGCUCGCAAUAUGCUGGAGUGUAGCACAUUGUCAAAGGCACCUUUCACAUCAAAGGAAAGAAGAAUAGAAGAUUUCUCGCCCUCCUCCCACGUGAUCGUGCCGUGUUUGUUGACAACAUGAGCAAGUUAGCGUCAAGGAAGUUUUCGACAAUUUCUCUUUUGGAGCAUUUGUAUUUAAGCAACCACGCUUUAUUUGACCAUCUAUAGGAUUCAAUAUUAAAGUCGCCACAACCACAAAAAAUUACCUCAUGGAAAUUAAUUGUUUUUAACCGGUCGAUUUCACCCAGUUCCCCACCUAGUCCUACACCAACUUCAUAUUGUAGGAUCUGCCUAAAGCUUCGGGUUUCAGGACAGUGGUGUCGGGUGGAAGGGAAAGGGAGAAGCAGAUCUCAUAGUGGUCGGAAAGGUCGGUAGGGUAUGAGGUCCACCCGGAGACGGAGGAGAGGAUAGAGGAAGAGACGCUGGAGAUGUCAAUGGAGGAGGAGCUGGAGCCCUGGGAGCGGGUGAUAGCUCCCCAGGUGUUACAGACCUUGAGGUCGAGGGCGUCGAGAAGGGUGUUAAUAAGAGAGCCUUUAGAGUUUUGUUUUUGUGAGCUCCAGCGGGAGGAAACAGCGUUGACGUCUCCAGCGAAGAGAAGGCGGGGAGGGGGUGGGGAGCCAAAGAGGGAGAUAAAGGAGUCGACGAUGGGGGAGUAAGAAGUGUGGUGGGGGAAGUAUACGGAGCAGAGAGUAAGGUGAAAGCCGGGGAUGUCAAGGAUUGCAAGGGUGCGGCUGGUGGCGGAGAGUCGUGGGAGGAAAAUGACGGGAAGGCUUUGGUUAAGAACAAUUAUACAGGUGUUACACCGGUUGUUAGCAGCGGUUGUUAAAUUUAGGUGAAGUUUUUUUUUUUUUUUUUUAUGCAUUAUUUUUGAUGUUUUAAAAAAAAAAGAAUACAAACAUUGAAAAGUGCAUUUAUUUACAAUAAAGAAUACAAACAUUGAAAAGUACAUUUAUUUACAAUAAAGAAUACAAACAUUGAAAAGUACAUUUAUUUACAAUAAAGAAUACAAACAAUGAAAAGUAAAUUUAUUUACAACAAUGAUUUUACAACAUGAUGGUGAAAGAUAAACAGUACACAGAAGGAUUGACAAGUCAUUCACUUCGCACAGGACAAAUACAGCAUUCACACAAGACAAGUGAGACAAGUGUAUGAUUUUUAAAUUCGGAUUUGCUAUUAUUACAGCUGCUCCCAAUUUAUUUUCGAUUAUUGGACCGUGACAAACCCUGUCAAGGGGCACAGGUAGUGAUGGUAAAUUGUUUUUGGAAACUGGGAGUUCUUGCAACAAAAGCACAUCCGAUUUUUCCUCGCGACAUUCAUUCAACAAGGAGUACAAACAUUAUGGAGAGCGUCUUACAUUGGCUUGAACACACUUAAGAACGUUCAUCGCACCAACAAUUUAUUGAAAUUACCCUGUGCCUCCCGCAUGUGUUUGCACGCCAUGGAGUUGGCACUGUGUUUGUCGCCACACCUGUGACAUUUCAAUGCUGUUUUAUUUUCACAGGUUUCGGAAAGAUGUGCACCAGCGCAGUGGCUACAUUUAGCCGCCCUAGUGCACUUCUUUCCGUUGGUGUGGGUCCUGUGACUUAAACUGCCACAGACACCAUAUGGGAAGACGCGCUUUGCUCUAGCGAGAGGAAGGCAGUCUCAACUUCCUUGUUUACUUCCACUAUCGCGGUUGAGGGGGCACCCUCUUUCCUAAUUAGUUUCACCAUCCUGAUGUCUUUGCCACUUUUCAGCAGCUUUUCGACAGCGGGAUGGUUACUAAUAUCAGCCACAAGCUGCUCCUCAGUUUUCUCUCCAGGAAUACCGAAGAUAGCAAGCCACAUUCUUUAAACAGGGAGUUUGGGUGAUUUUUGCCCUGAUUUCACUAACAGACAGCUCCGCAUGAUUAAUGCUGUUACGCAGCAUAUGCACGUAACUUGGUAGUGUAGGUUUGGUUGGCUUAACACCAACAUUGGGUGGUGGUGCAGGUUUGGCAUUUUUAGCAGAGGCUGCGUAUUGCGCCCUAAUCUCAGCAAUUUUAAGAUCGCAACCCUUCAACCCAGUUCCCCACCUAGACCUACACCAAUUUCAUAUUGUAGGAUCUGCCUAAAGCUUCGGGUGUCGGGACAGGAGAGGGUGGUGUUGUCAAUUAGAAGAUGGGGAGGUUUGCAGAAAAUGGGUAGAACUGAUGAGCUGAAUUUCUGACGCUAUCGUCCCGAAAUCCAUGAGCCCCUUUCAUUCUCAGGGAGUUCACGAAAAUAAUACAUCCUGCUAUAUAAAAGGUAUAAUUUACAUGUGUCCUGCACGCACUGGGGUUAAAAAAAAAAGAAUGACAGACAACUAUAUGUUUGGAUUAAGAUGACAAUAUAUUUAUUUAUUUCUUAGAACAGUCAUACAAAGAUAAGAAUAAAAUAAAUGAAACGGGCAAUGAGGAUUGAGUGGGAAAAUUUACAAGAAUAUACUUAUUAAAAAAAAUCAUUAUUGGAAGAUACUUAACUUUAGUGCUUCAGCUGGAUGGCUUGGAAAUCCCUCCCUUAAAAUCUUGUAGAACUACUUUUUUGUGAUUUUUUUACGAGCUUUUCUAUCCUAUCUUAUCUCUAAGACCGACUCUCACUAAAGCUUGCUCGUGACUUUUUCUCCCCAGGGUGACCGAAAAAAAAAAAGAAUUAAUAAUAAAUCUUUAUCUGGUCACCCUCUGUGAUAAAAAAAAGAAAUUUUUAAAAAUAAAAAAAAAAAUUAUAAUAAAAAUUAUCAUUCGGAAUAUUAAUUUUAAAAUAUUAAAAAAAAAAGAAAACCCAAAUAGCUGCUUAUUUAAAAGAAAAAUGAAAUUUAUUAUAAUUUAUAUGCAAAAAUUGGAGAUAAAAAGGAGGUGAAGAGAUGGGCUGGUUUGACAAAGAAGAAUGCUCGAAGUCCGCUUCUUUCUUGUCGAGGCAGCUUCUUCAUUGUCCACCAGCUUUCCAUUGAUACUGUGGGUGAACUUUAUGGAGGCCCCAGAAGUGGCCUCUACAGAACCAGGGAACUCCAGGGAGGAGACGGCAUUGACAUCUCCAGCGAACAGAAGGCGAGGAGGAGGUGGGGAGCCGAAGAGAGUGAGGAAGGAGUCUACUAUGGGGGAAUAAGAAGCUUUGUGUGGGAAGUAAACAGAGCAGAUAGUGAGAUGGAAGCCUGGGAUGUCGAGAAUGGCGAGGGUACGGUUGGUGGUAGAAAGGCGAGGGAGGAAGACCACAGGCAGGCUCUGGUUAAGAACCAUGAUGCAGGUGCUGCACUUGUUCUGUGUGAUGGGAGCGUGAAGGAAAGAGGCGGAGGGGAUUGGGAAGGGAGAGGCGAGAAGGCCUUUACGGACCGGCAGUUCUUGAAGCAGGAGGAUAUCUAUGUGAGAGGACUGCGCGGUUUCGAGAAUAGAGAGGAAGCAGGGGAGGGAACGGUUGCAAUUUAGCUGCAGGAACCUAAUCAUGGGAUUCCAUGCGUUGUGAGGAAGGCAGACUCUGCCGCCUUAAUGAUCGGGCAGGCAAGGGAAUCCGCCCGGUGUUGGUUGUUGCUGCUGCACCGGAAGCAUCUAGGGGGAGAGGAGAUUGCUGCACAGUCGUUGAUGGUGUGGCCCUCCCCACAGUGCAAACACUUGGCCCGUUUGGGGCAGUCGUUGUGUUGGCGUAGGUUGCCACAGGAGCGGCAAGGGUGCGUUGUUCUUGUUCGCUCGAACCUGAUAGAGCUAAAACCAAUGAAGAGGCGAGAACGCGACUGGAGGUCCCUGGCUGUAGCGGUGUCAGUCUCUAUGAUGGCGUGUUUGUUGUUGUUGCGCGCAGCCAUUGUACGGACUAGCCUACAGCCGGCGCCCACGGAUUGGUUGAGUAGUGUGGGAAGGUCGUUUAUUGGGAGAGUCGGGAAUGUUAAAGAGGGUAUAGCGUGGUUUGAAUGUAGGGGACAGGUGCACCUUGAUGUUUGUUCCCCUAGUGGCAUUUAUCAGUUUUGUAUAGAUGUUUGUCAUGUUGUUUUUAGUGUUUGUAUGUAUGGUUAGUUUGUUGCGUGUGCGGUGUAUGUUGGUGAUUGGUGUGGUGGGCGUGGUAAGGGAGGAGAUGAAAAUUUUUGUGUAUAGGUUGGUGUCGAUGGGGGUGUUGAUGGAGGGGUCUUGGGUGAUUAAUAUAUGGAAGGGGUUGUUGCGGUUGGAGGGGGGUGUGGGGCGGUGGGAUGGGAAGUGUGUGGUGUGGCGGGAGGAGGGGAUGGGGAGAGAGGGAGUAGCAGAAGGGGGAAGGGAGGCGGCUCUGGCAAAAGAGUCAGGAGAGGAUUUGGGGAGGAGGGGGUGGGCAGGGGUUGAGGGAUAGGGGGAGAUAGAGGAAGAGGGUUAGGAGGGGAAGGAUGAGGAGUUUUAGGAGGAGGAAUGGGGGGGUUAGGGUGGUAGUGGAAGGUUCAGUGGGGUGGUGUGAGGGUGGUUGUGUAAGUUUGUAUGUGAGGAUGUUGUUGGUGUGGUUGGCCUCUAUGAGGCGCUGGUUGUAUGUCUGUGUGAGGUGUGUGAAUGUUAUGUCGAGGGUGGUUCUGAAUUGGUCGGCGAUUGAAGGGGUGAGACCAUGUGAGAAAGGAGCUAGGAGGUGGGAGUUGUUGUUGAUUGGGAACAGAUUGCAUAACAAUGGGGGGGAGUCAAUGGUAUAGUCGGAAUUGCGAAGGUGGUGUGGCUUGUAGGGAGUGUGGGUGGUGGUGACUGGGGGAUGAGGAGGGGUAGGUUCACUCACCCCUGGUUGACCGUUGAGAGGGCCGCCGAUUGUGCGGUCCAGGUGGCUGUCGAAGAUGCUGGGGCGCAGUUCAUCCCUGGAGGAAUCCGCACUUGAAGUGGAGGUGCAGUCUUGGGGAGAGUUGGUGGAGUCCUCCCUGGAAAAAGAGACGUCUGGGGGGUGGGGUGUAGUAUCCAGGAGGGGUGUGGGAGAAGGGGUUCUAGUAGGGGUAGGUCCUCGGCGGGUGGGGGAAUGGUGGACUGGUGCGCUGGGGCGGACAGGUGAGUUGCUGGGCCCGCGGCGGCGUGUGGUGUUGCUGUCGCCUGGGGAGGGGAGCUGGGAGUUCAGCGCGGCGGACGGAGGGACCGCGCUCGUCGGUGUCGAAGGAGAGCCCGCAUUUUCAUUGGCUGCGGGCAGAAAAAAAUCUGGGAAGGAUAAAUGGCGUAUUGCGGCCGUCCAAGAGAUCCGGGGAAUAAAAAUAAUUUUUAUCCUCUUCUGGUUUUUGGUGGAUUGGGGCUGGGCGCUGGGGAACAGGAGCACAGUAGCACAGGAGACCGGAAGCACUAUAGAAAAUUCCUAUUUAGCCUCCUUGAAUAUGCUGACACCACCAAAAAGAGUGGAUGCCCUUACUUCAGGCAGUAUCCCUGUGCCUUACCACGGGUGGGGGGUCACUAGGGACUGGCAAGAAGCGAUCCUAAUUCAAGGGAAGCUUUUGACUCCAAGAGUAUCCAGAAUCCUUACCACUGGUGGGGGGAAUAUCUGGACUCGUUGAAGUUACAGCAUCAUAUUGAUGACAAUUAUUCCGCCUUCUACAUGCUAUCAGGUUAGCAUUCUAAGGCACAAAUCAACGUUGGGGGUCACCGUGAGCCCGCCGCACUGGAGGGCCAAGGAGAGGGCUGGAGAGACGCCGGCGGAGCCGUGGGCGUCCCGGGGGAGAAGAGGGCGAGAGCGCGGAUAGUGAGGGAACCAAGGCGACACCAAGCACUGCGCCAGGCUCCGAGCAAGUGGUCUACGCCCCAGAGCGCCAGGGACGUAACCUCCACGGCACCGGAGGUUAAGAUUAUACUAUAUUAUCUAUUAAAUAUUAAUUUUUUUUUUUUUUUCCAAGCAAACAAAAUUACAAAUAGGAGGUACAAACAAAGACAAGGGCAAGAGCAGCGGGGGAAAGGGUUAUGUACAGAAGGAACAAGCGAGUGGCAGGAGUGGAGUGGAAGGGGGUGAGGAGCUGGGUACAGGGGUGGGGGAGGAGGAAGAUGGGGAGGCGGGUGGAAGCUGGGGGGGAGGAGGAACGUAAGGGGAGGGGUGAGGAGGGGGGGGUGGAGGAGGCAGGGGGAGGGACAGGUGGGCAAGGAGAGGAUGUGAGCAAAUUUUGUUUGAGGAGGUGAGUGAGGACGUUUGUGGCGCUGUUGGCCUCGAGGAGGCGUUGCUGGUAUGUGUUAGACAUAUGUGCAAAGGUUUUUUUAAGAUCAUUACGAAAGCAAACAGCAAGGGUAGGUUCAAGGGAAUCAGCGUAAGGGGCAAGGAUAUGGUAAGCCCAGGUAAGAUGUAGUAGGUGUGAGGGGUUGUUUGUGGGGAAUAGGUUGCAUGUGGGUGGAGGUGAGUCGGGGGUGUAGUGUUGUGGUGGUGGUUGGUGUAGGUGGAGUGGCGUGUGGACAUAUGUAGCAGGGGUAGGGUGAAGAGGGGUGGAGGAGCUCACCCCAGGUUGACUGCCAAGGUCAAGGUCACCGCCAAAGGUAGGGUCGAACUGGGAGUUGAACAUGCUUGGAUGGUCGUCAAGGCAGGAGGAGUCAGUGUCAGGAGAGGAGGUGGAGGAAUCUUGGGAGAGGGGCAGGGAGCCCCCUGGAGUAGAAGAGGUGUCAGAGGUGGGGGUGGCCCCCAGGGAGGGCGGGGUGCCCACUGGAGCUGGAGAGGUGGGGGUGGCCCCCGGGGGAGGGCGGAGUGCCCCCUGGAGCUGAAGAGGUGGGGGUGGCCCCCAUGGGGGGCGCUGGGAAGAGGGCGCAGGCAGGAGCGGACCCGCCGGUGGGCGCGCGGUGGCGGGCGGGCGAGCCACCGGAUGCGCGGCGGCGGGCGGCGCGGCCACCGCUCGCAGGGGAGGGCGGUGAAGCCAGCGCGGCGGAGGUUGGGAGCUCUCCACGCAGUGGAGGGAGGUCGAGUGGCGGCGUGCGGCCGCUCAGGAGGUCAAGCGCUCCGAUUGGACGCCCGCGGGAAAUAAAUCAGGGCGAUGGACGGUGGUAGGCGGCCGCCCGGGAGGACCGAGGAAUUAAAAUGAGCAAUCGCUCGGCAACUGAAUUUGGCCAAGAAGUUCCGAGGGCAGGACAGGGUGGAGGUGGUCCCACGGCAGGGGAACCCGCGGGGAGAAGGCAGCGGACACCGCGGAGGCAGGAGCGCAGAAGGAGGAACCGUGCGGCCGGAGUCCGCGGCGACUUACAGCAUCAUAUUGGUGCCAUUUUAUAAGGCGCCCCGAAGUCUAAACCUGGGUAGCUGAGAGCCAAUAAAAAUGGAGAGUUGAUGUAGGAUUCGUCUGGACUUUAAGUCUACCAAUGUUGGCGGACUUAACGUUGUCCACAAACCUCUUUUUCUCAGAGGGGUUGGCGAAGUAGUGGACAAGUUUUUUUAUCCCCCUGUCACCGCGGCUACAUCACAGUUCUUCAAACUAGGAGUCUAGGCGAUUUUUUUGCCCUGAUCUCGCUAACAUUGAGGUCCGCGGAAGCGAGCUUCGCGUGGUUGGUGCUGUUACGCAGCAUAUGCGUGUAACUGGGUUUAGUUGGUUUGACAGGCUUAGCACCUGCGCUGGUUGGCUGAGUGACUUUUGUCACCACUGGGGUUGGUUUGGGAGGUCUGGGAGCGACGGUUGGUUUUUUAGAGGCUGAUAGUUCAGCUUUGAUUUCUGCGACUUUAAGGUCACAGCACUUCAGCUUAUGCUGAAGGAUGCUUACAACAGUGUUUUGGAGCUGGUAGAGCAGACCAUCUAUUUUCAAGUAGAGAUUUUUAUUCUCUGUGGAACCUAGAUACCCGCUGAGCCUUAGCCCUACCUCAUGUUGCAGAAUUUGGCGGCAACCCUUAAAGGACGUGUCGAUUUCACCCAGUUCCCCACCUAGUCCUAUACCAACUUCAUAUUGUAGGAUCUGCCUAAAGCUUCGGGUUUCAGGACAGUGGUGUCGGGUGGAAGGGAAAGGGAGAAGCAGAUCUCAUAGUGGUCGGAAAGGUCGGUAGGGUAUGAGGUCCACCCGGAGACGGAGGAGAGGAUAGAGGAAGAGACGCUGGAGAUGUCAAUGGAGGAGGAGCUGGAGCCCUGGGAGCGGGUGAUAGCUCCCCAGGUGUUACAGACCUUGAGGUCGAGGGCGUCGAGAAGGGUGUUAAUAAGAGAGCCUUUAGAGUUUUGUUUUUGUGAGCUCCAGCGGGAGGAAACAGCGUUGACGUCUCCAGCGAAGAGAAGGCGGGGAGGGGGUGGGGAGCCAAAGAGGGAGAUAAAGGAGUCGACGAUGGGGGAGUAAGAAGUGUGGUGGGGGAAGUAUACGGAGCAGAGAGUAAGGUGAAAGCCGGGGAUGUCAAGGAUUGCAAGGGUGCGGCUGGUGGCGGAGAGUCGUGGGAGGAAAAUGACGGGAAGGCUUUGGUUAAGAACAAUUAUACAGGUGUUACACCGGUUGUUAGAGAUAGGAGCAUGGAGGAGGAGGGGGUGGGAAAUGGGGAGGGAAGGGCAUUGUCAAGGACCGGGAGUUCUUGAAGGAGAAGGAUAUCUAUAUGGGAGGACCGGGCAAAUUGUAGUAAGGAGAGGUAGCAAGGGAGGGAUCGGUUACAGUUAAGCUGUAAGAACUUAAGCAUUUAGGGCAGGUUGUGGGUGCUACGGAAUGUGGUUUCAGCGCCCUUGAUGACCGGGCAGGAGAGAGAGUCCGCCCGGUGUUGGCCAUUGCCGUUGCAGCGGAAACAUUUAGGGGGGAGGGUGGUGGAGGUGCAGUUGUUGGUGAUGUGGCCUUCGCCGCAAUGGAGGCAUCUGGAGGGCUUAUUGCAAAUUACAUUAGGUGACGGAUGUCACCGCAGUUACGGCAGGGUGAGUUGAUCUGGUUCUGUCGAACCUGAUUGAGUUAUAUCCCAAAAAGAGACGGGUUCGAGAUUGCAGUUGGGUGGCAGUGUCGGAGUCGGUUUCGAUGACCGCGUGUGUUGAGUUGUUGCGGCCGGUAAAGUUCUAAUGAGUUUGCAGUCAGUGCCUAUUGAUUGGGUGAGAAGGGAGGGCAGGUCGCUGAGUGGGAUAGUGUUGGGGAGGUUGAAGAGGGUAAAGCGGGGUUUAAAGGUGGGGGGGAGGUUGACGCUGAUGUUUGUGCCGUUGGUGGCAUUUUUGAGCUUGGCGUAGAUAGAGUCCAUGCUAUUUUUGGAGUUAGUGUGUAUGAUGAUCUUGUUACGGGCGCAGAAGAUGUUAGUGAUUUGGGUGGAGGGAGUAUUGAGGGAGGAGAAGGAAAUUUUUGAGUUGAGGUUGUUGUCGAUGGGGGUGCAAGCAGAGGGGUCCUGGGUGAUGAUGUGGAAGGGGUUGUUGCGGUUGGAAUGGGGAGGGGGGCGGCGGGGAGGGUUGGGGGUUGAGUGUCGUGGGGGGGGUUGGUGGGGUGGGGGGUUAGCGGGAGGCGGUCGGGAGGCGACCCCGGCGAACGAGUUAGGGAUGGGCAUGAGUGGAGUGGAAUGGGGUGAGGAGCUGGGUACAGGGGUGGGGGAGGAGGAAGAUGGGGAGGCGGGUGAAAGCUGGGGGGAGGAGGAACGUUUGGUGAGGAGGGGGGGGGGGUGGAGGAGGCAGGGGGAGGCAUAGGUGGGCAAGGAGAGGAUGCAAGCAAAUUUUGUUUAAGGAGAUGAGUGAGGACGUUUGUGGCGCUGUUGGCCUCGAGGAGGCGUUGCUGUUAUGUGUUGGAGAUGUGUGUGAAAGUUUUUUUGAGGUCAUUGCGGAAACAAUCGGCAAGGGUAGGGUCAAAAGAGUCAGCAUUAGGGGCAAGGAUGUUGUAGGCCCAGGUUAGAUGUAGGAGGUGUGAGGGGUUGUUGGUGGGGAAAAGAUUACAUGUGGGUGGAGGUGAGUCGGGGGUGUAGUGUUGUUGUGGUGGUUGGCGUAGGUGAGGUGGCAUGUGAACAUAUGUAGAUGAGGUAGGGUGAAGAGGGGUUGUUCGUGUUCGUUAAAAAAAAAAAAAGGGUGAUCGAUUGAAAGGAAAAACAAUGGGGGAAAUAAAUGCACAUUCACACGGUAUAACAAAAGGUUUUUUUUUUAAAUUAAAACAAAGGGCUAAAAACUAUUAUACUUAUAUAUAAAGAAUUAUGCAUAAAAACAAGAAAAAAAAGUCAAGCAAAAAAAGUAAAAUUAGCUAAUCUUAGGGAAGGGAGAUAAAAAUAAGUGGCAGGGGCGGGUGUCGAGCGUUGUGUUUGUACAGUACCUCGGGUGGCAGCACCGUCGCUGGCUUAGCUUGGGUUCCACUUGUCGCGGCUCGUUCGAUGUCCAAGGCGUCCUUUCCGCUCUCAAGUUGCCGCGUGAGGGAUACUCCAAGGUGUCCUUUCCGUCCACAAGACUCUGCUUGUGGGAUAUUUCUUAGACUUCUUUCUGUCCACAAGACGCUGCUUGUAGGAUAUUUCUUAGACAUCUUUCCGUCCACAAGUCGCUGCUUGUAGGAUAUUUCUCUGGCGCGUCUGCUCCGCCUGGCAAGCGAACUCAACUCUCCCCCUGGUCCGCUGCUUCUAACAAAAGAUGAUGCAACAUGACGCGCCGUCCCGGGGCUCGCAGAACAACCAAUCACAUUGCAGGCGUCCACGUGACUGCCUCCCCGGGCAUCUGCCGACCUUUGCCCUGAUCGGCCCCAGCUGGGACUUUCCCCGACCAUGUAGAUGUCUUGACCAUUUCAUUCAUCUUUUCCCCUCGUCUCCCUUCACCUAAGUCCUUCAUUCUAUGUACAAAAGUAAUGAUCGGUAAAAUAGUUUUAACAGGGGUGGAGGACAAUUUGACAAUUAAAACAGACUUUAUUGACGAUCUAGUCAAUAAUUACACUCAAUCAAGAGUUAAUGUGAAAAUUUACAGAUUAGGGGGGGGGGAGCAUUUCGCUGAGUAUGCGUAGGCCCUCACGCACAAAGGGAUCUGAGUUCCGAGCGCAUUCAGAUGCAGCGCUGAUGAUCUCGGCAAGAGUGGUUCUCUUCUGAGUGGAGAGGCGCCUGAGGAGAGGUUCCCUAUCCACGGGGAAAAUAAUCGCCUCCACGAUGUCACUCUGUGACUCCUAUGUUGGAUAAGGGCUCCGAGAAGCACUCACGGCUCAACGCAUAUAUAAUAUCGCCUGCCUGGUCGUAGCAGGCAUCUAUGAAUUGGGUAGACAGAGGAGGUGGAGGUGUCGCGAUGUCCGGCGACGUCCUUUCCCCGUGGAGAGCGGGUGGUGUUGGCUCGGCAGGCCGAGUCGCAGGCAGUGGGGGUGUUGGAGGCACUGCGGCUGGUGAGGUUUUCAGCUCCGCCUUGACCUGAUGUAGAACUUUAUAGAUGUUGGAAUUGCCUCCGGGCCUCAGGUCAAGGAGUUGGUUAAUUACACCGGCGAGAGCAUUGCUCUGCGGGGGUGUUAGGAGGGGUCCGCGCUUAUAGGCCCUGGCCUUCGAGGAGAGGAGGUCUAAGACUUUAAAAUCUGUAUUCAAAAGUGAUUCCUCCAUUUUAAUUUGUUUUAUUUUUUGGAUAGCUCUUCUGAACCGUCUUUUGCUGUUAAAGAAACAAGUUGCAGACUGACCAACUUUUCUUCCUUUGAAAAUGUCCCAAUCCUUGAAAACUAAAUGGUCUUCUUUAGUAGACCUAUAUUUUCUCUCGUCUAUCCAUUUAAUUUGGAAAAGGUUUUGCCCGAGCCAUUUGAGAUCUUCUCCAUAGGUUUCAAGGUUAGGUGUUUUUUCAAGAAAUGGUAUAAAAAUGGUUUCUUGGUCUGCUUCACGGACAUGUACAAAAGUAAUGAUCGGUAAAAUAGUUUUAACAGGUCACUGAACGCCUUUUGGCAAGCUUCAUCCCAGAUCCACACGACAUCCUUUUUGAGGAGGUUAUUGAGUGGUGCUCGCAAGCGAGCGUAGUCCGGGAUGAAUUUGUUAUAGACGUUCACAGCGCCUAAAAAGGAUUGUAGUGUUUUUCGGUUGUGUGGUUGUUUAAUGGCGUGAAUGAUGUCUGUGUUGCGUGUGAGCGGUGUGGUUGUACCAGCUGUGACGGUGUAGCCUAGGAAAUCUAUUGACUGCUUAAAAAAUUUGCAUUUCGCGAAGUUAAGUUGUAACUCCUCUGCUUCGCAAAAGGCGAAAAAUUGUCGCAGGUGGUUUUGAUGUUCCUCCAAUGUGUUGGAGUAAAUGAUGAAAUCAUCAAAGUAAUGUGCCACACAGUCAAGUCCGUGUCUCUGUACGACCUGACUAAUGCUCGUUCGUAGAUCUGAGGGCUAGUUUUUAAUCCGAAAGGUAAUCGAGUGGGUUGGUAUAACCCUUCGAGGGUGGCAAAUGCUAACAGUGGUCGAGAAUCUGGGUGUAUUGGGACCUGCCAAUACGCAGAGGAUAUGUCGGCCGUGGAGAAAUACUUGGCCUGUGCGAGGCGGUCGAGGAUAUCCUCGAUUCUCGGGAGGGGAUGGACAUCAGAGCUAAUUAGCUCGUUCACCUUUCUAUAAUCGAUACAAAACCGUUUGGUCUUGUCGCGCUUAGUGACGAGGGUGACAGGGCUCGAGAAAGGUGAAAAGGAUUGCUCUAUAAUGCCAUUCUCCAGCAUUUGUUGGACUUGAUUACGGAUUUCUUGUUGGUCACAUAUCGGGACACGAUAUGGCCGUAUGGUAAUUAUUUUGUCGGAAUUCGUGGGUAUUUUUACGGGUGGAAUCCGUAAGCAUGGUAUGUUGAAUUUGUUCUGUGUGAAGAUGUGAUUGUAUCUUUGUAAAAGUGUUGUGAACUGGGGUGUAUAGAGAGGAUUGUGUGUCGUGUUGUAGCAUGUAUGUGGUAAAGGAUUUUGUUGGGUCUUAGUGUGAGUGUCGAGUUCGUGGUGUGGGUUUGUCAUGUGAUAUUUGUGUGACGACGUAUGAUCACCUAUGUGCUUGGUAUGCGAGUUGUCCCGCUGUAGGGGUAUGUUUUGGGCAUUCUGGUUACCAAUUGAAGCCGUGGUGGCAUUGUUAUUUGAGGGCAUGUAAAAAAGGCAAUUGGCCUUAGUGAAAAAAUGGCAUGUAGAUAAGGGGUUUUUUUUCAAUGAAUGCACGCAAUGGUUGUCAUAGGCGGAAGGUUUGGCUGUAUGGUAAGAUCUUUGUGACAUCGCCUGACAUUGCCAGUAGGUGCAUACAUUUGGUACAUGGUUAAAAUGGUAGGAUGGGGUAGACAAUGGGGCGCCCAGCUGGAAUAUAGUGCAUUUAUUAAAAUCUAUUGCUAAUUUGAAUUUGUGGAGGCUAUUAAGGCUAAGAAUUCCAAAUGGUAACGGUGCAUUCACUACAUGGAAAUUCUCUCUUCGGGAUAUUUGUCCUAUGGUUAGAGGGAGAGACAGUUUACCCAUUGUUUUUGCAAAACCAUCCAGGGUUUGGAGAUCCAGUGAAUGUCUCUUAAGGGUUAACUUAGGCAGGUGAGUUUUUAACAUAUGGUAGAGGUUAUAUGGCACUAUAUUCAGGCUGGCGCCUGUAUCAAUUAAAAAGGGGCAUGGUAUAUUAGGGGCUAGGAAAAGUUUUACAGUCAGUUGGGUUAGGGAGCCUACCUCAGUCUCGAAAAGUCUGCUCUGCUGGGGUGUCUCUGGCUUGACUUGGUUGCUGGGGACUCGGGACUGGUUGCUUUGGGACUGAUUGCACUUUGAUAUCGGUUGCUCGGGACUGAUUGCACUGUCCGGUCUUUUUCGUGGGUCGCCGGGACUGGUCGAUGCCGGCAUUCGCUGUGCCAGUGUCUCGCGCCGCAGAACUUACAGUUGGACGGUGGAAGAGGUGCAUUCCAGGCACCUGGGCGUCGAGGUGUGUUGUGGUACGGACCCGACAUCGUGGGCGGGUUGGUUGGUCCUCUCUGUGUCGUGUUGUCGGUACACUGGGCCCGUGGAUCCGCUGUAUCAGUCGGAACCACUCUCCUAGGUUCUCGGGAGGCACUACGCGGACUAGACGCUGGUCGGAGAAUGGCAACCCUUCUGUCAGCGUCUCGAGGAUCACCUGCGGGAGUCCUAGUUGUAGCCCCAUGGCGGUUUUCUCCCGGUAGUAGGUCUCUAGGUUGGCUUGUCCAGUAAGCUUCAUGGCGAAAUAUUUUGCAAAGGAUGCUUCGCUCGACUCAGGAUAGAGAUCUAAGAGGAUUUGUCUCACCUGGAAAUAGCUCCGGUCGGCCAGCCGAAGUUUCCUGAAAAGCUCCAGGGGUUGUCGCACCAGGUAGUUUGGUAGACGGAGCAGUUUUUCUUUUUCUUCUAUGGCGGCGUCUUCCAUUUUCCGGUCGAAUACUUGGAAAAACUGGAUCGCGCUGUAUGUUCCAUUGAAAGGCGAGAUUGUCGGUCCUGUAGGGUCGCAUGACCUACCCUGGGACAGCGCGGCGGUGAACUGCUGAAUGACAUCCGCUAGAGGGCCCGUCUCCUCUCUGCCGGUCAUUUCCUGUCUGCUGCCUUCUUCCCUUUCUUUCGUUGGGUCGUCCUUCUUUACGCCGAUUGAAUCUUGGUUAAUCUCCAUCUCUUUAUCCUGUCGACUUAAUCCGUCUGUCGCAAUAUCGUUGCGGAAUUUCUUGUUGUUGGAUGAGAAUGGUGUAGAUUGUUGGAAGCGCAGUCGUUUGAGUGGAAAGUGAAGCAUACAGUGGGGAAUAACCAGGACACGUGAUGGGGUUUUGGAAAUAAAAGGCAACUGGUCGGAGGAAAGAAAGGCUUUGGAGAAGAUGGAGCGGAUUGUCUAUUAACUAUCUAAUCACAUGGCGGUGAUUGACUUAGCUGAAAAGGAUGAACGGGGGAGGUCUCUAGAGCAGGUGUUACCUCGGGGGGAGCGAAGCGACAACUGACAAUUCUUGGUUCUCGAUUUAACACGAGAACCCUUCUUACUUCCCAUUGGUGGAAAGGUGUGACGUGGCGGUUCCCUAUUGGUCUACGUUACUUCUUUAUCCUAAAACAUGUCCCAGCUUGACCAGGAAGUAAUAGUUUGUUGAACUCAACUUUUUAUUAGUUCCGCGAUAAUAAAACGGGGUAUAACUUUCCUAAUGAUGGUGCUAACUUCUAAGCCUCUUUUCUAGGCCUUUCUUCUAAGUCUUUCUAUCCUCCAAUGUUAUCUUUGUUCUUUUAUUGAAACAAAUCAUACAUUUUAUACAUAUUGGAUUGACUAUUGGCAUCUAUGUAUGUACAAAUUAUGACAUAUAUAUUGCUAAAAGUAUAAAUAACAUGUACAUAAAAAAAAACAAAGCUUAAUUCUGAGUCCUAAUAUUUUUUUCAUAAAAAAAGCAUCCAAAUAGUGUAUAAAUACGGCAUUUCUGCAGCCCCCCGACAAAAGUUCACUAAAAGAGUUAAAUAUUCUAAAAAAAAUUUUGGUAUAUAUAUUGCUAAAUGUGUAAAAAAUAUGUAUAUAAAAAAGCAAAGCUUAAUUCUAAAUUUUAAUAUUUUUUUUAUAAGAAAAGCUGCAGAAAAACAAAUAGGGAUAAUGGGAGUUAUUUUGCCAUUUUCAAAAAUUAAUUGUGAAAGAAUAAAUAAAUGAGUAAAUAGGGACAAAUAUUAAAUAGCAAAUUAUAUAUAAAGAAUGUCUUUUUUCAAUAAAUUAAUUCGAUGUAUGUAUAUAGCAAGGGCAGUCUGUACUGAAAGCAUUAUGUUGUGUGUUCAAUUUAAGUGUAGGAUUUUUACUAUUAGCUUUUUUACAGUUUAUACAAUUUUCUGUUUUUGUACAUGAUUUAGAAAUGUGGCCCUUGCUACCACAUUUCGCACAAGUGUUUUCUGAUUCUUUACAGUUUUUAUAUUUAUGAAAAUCAAGACAUUUAGUGCAUCUAUUAACAAGAAAAAUUUCCGUCCAUUUGAUUACUCUCCAUCCAAAUCUAAAUCUGUAUAAAUUAUUUUCAAUUGUUGAUCUAUUUUUCAAUUGUGAAAAUGUGUUUGAAUCAAUAUUUAUAAGCCAAUCAUAUUUGUUAAAUUUGUUUUUAUAUACACUAAACGGUUUUAAUUCAGCAUUAGGUAAAUUUAAACUUUCUUUGAAAUAAUCUAUUAUAUGUUCUUUGCCAAAAUCUUCUUCAACAUUUAAUAUUUUAAUUGUAGGAGACCUACCUUUGGGAACUUUUGGAAUUAGCUUGGACCUAAGAUGUUCAUUUUCAUUUAUGAAAUUUACUAUUGUGUUUACAUUUUCUAAUGUGGGAACUUCUAUUGUGCAUCCCUUUUUGUUGGGAAUAGCAUUGGCUCUAACUAUUUUUAGAUUAGACAAAGAAAUAUUUUCCUUAGGGAAUUGCACUAUAUUGGUAUUUUCAGGGAGUUUUGAUUCAAUUAAUAUUUUCCCUAUUAGAUUAGGGGAACUUUUUGGCUGGGCUAUGGAAGUUGGUGCAAUUGGUAUGUUAGAAGCCAAAGCUGCACUAUAACUUUUCUCACUUUUUUCCAUUAAUAUUUUCAAUUUUUCAUCGAUUAGAGCAUUAUUUUCACUUAUUAAAUCUUGAGUAGAUUUUUUUAAAUCAUCAAUUUUUUCCUCAAAAUUUUUUUGAAUAUUUUCAAUAAUAUUUUCUUGAUUCUUUAAUAAAUCAUCCAAUUUAGUAUUAAAAGCCAUAUUUUCUACAUUUUCUGGUUAAACUUUUAUAAAUUCAUUCAUAUCUGUUUGAAUUAAAUUUAAAAUCUUUUUUUGAGCAUCCAUUUUCGGAUUUUUGGCAUUUAAGAAUGUGGAAAUAUUUCCCAUAAGUGUUUCCAGCAUAGGAAACAUUUUUUUACCUAAACAAUUUAUCUCCAUUUUUAAAUUAAAAAGUAUACCAAACCUAAGCCUAACCUAACCAAACCUAAUGGUGUUGUAGCCCAGGGGUGUGUGGACCUGGUUCUGUCGAACCUAAUGGUGUUGUAGCCCAGGGGUGUGUGGACCUGGUUCUGUCGAACCUAAUGGUGUUGUAGCCCAGGGGUGUGUGGACCUGGUUCUGUCGAACCUAAUGGUGUUGUAGCCCAGGGGUGUGUGGACCUGGUUCUUUCAAACCCAAUGGUGUUUUAGCCCAGGGGUGUGUGGACCUAGUUCUGUCGAACCUAAUGGUGUUGUAACCUAGGGUUGUGUGGAUCUGGUUCUUUCGAACCUAAUGGUGUUGUAGCCCUGGGGUGUGUGGACCUGGUUCUGUCGAACCUAAUGGUGUUGUAGGAAGGAAACUAAAGAGUAAAUAUGGAAAAGAUUAAAUGACAAGAUUUAGUUAAAAAUUAAUUAAUAGGGAAAUUAAAAAAAUGAGGGGUAAAUAUUGAUAUAAAAAAUAAAACCAAAAAACCAAAAGGAAGAGAGGAAUUACUUCUUCCUAUUGGGCCCUUGGGGUCUUUUUUUCUUCUGUUGAAGAGAAGGUUUCUUGACUUGACGGUCAGGCUGCCUCCCCCCGGAGAUUGAUGGGUAGGGCUCUUCCGGGAGAAGGAGGGAGUUUGUGGCCACCUCGAGGUCGGCCAAUUCCUGAGGGGGGGCGUCAGUGGUGUGGUUCCCUGAGCCUCCACACCACUUUCGCCCUCAGGAAUUAUUCGUUUAAAACCCCGAAUGAUGGCCUCCCGGAUCCCCUGGUGGAGGUAUUUCUCACCCAGAGCCUCCAGCUGCUCUGUGGUGGCCACCACCUUCAGGCCGGCAGUGAGGUAGGGUGUGAGAAUGAGGCGGCGGUCCUCAUCCCGAGCGGGGGCAGCCCAUGUGGCAUAUUGGGCAUCCAGGUUGGCAUCGGCCUUGAUGGUUCUGGCAAAAUUGCCAUGCCAUCUGGCCCAGUGGAAGAAGUGGGCCGCCUCCACAUUAUUCGGGGCCCGGGGGAACACUGCCAGGCAUCCUGCGAAUGCCAUGGAGUUGGGGAGCUCGGGGGGCUUUUCUCCCACAAUGCGGGCCAAUGGGUGGCCCAUGGCCUCCAGCAUGAGACCCGGCAAGAGGGCGACCAUGCGGCCGAAGGUGAUGACAUCUGGGGACAGCUCCCCUUCCGGUUUAUCCUAUAUCUUGUAUCGGGUCUGGAUGUCCUCAAUGAAUUUGAGGGCCUUCUGGGUGCUCCUCUUUUUUAUUUUAUUUGGGGAGAACCCCCUCAUGGCGAUGAGGAGGAAGACCGGGGGCAUGUCCCUGGCCAGGAUUUCGGCCUUUCCCCCAACACAGGCCAGCAGCGCCUUAAAGGUGGCCUCCGGGCUAAACCCAUUGUAUUGGAGGUCCUUACUGAGGGUGGCAAGGUAGGCGGUGUUGGACCUAAAGAGGGCCUUGGCCCUGAAUUCGACCCAAGCGAUGGUUGCUUGGGGGUUUUCGGGGACCUCUCCCCAAUCCAUCUUGCAUAGGGCCUCGAUGGGAGGAUCCGAAGGCCCGGCCGAGGGACCUGGCAUGGGUGGCAUGACCACCGGGUCAUCCGCAAAGGGGGCCCAUUCCCCCGGGGGGUGUUCACUGUCUGGGUUUACAUUGGCCAUCUUUUUUGUCUUAAAUUUAAAUUGGCUUAAAUUUUAGUUCCUUACGCCUGUUUUGAUCAGGGAAAAAGUUAGAUGCAAGAAAAGUUCACCCUACUUUGUGUGUGUAAAAACAUGUCUUUUACUCUAAUAUAUUUUAAUAAUUGUGUGUAAUCAAUAUUUUUCCUAUAAUUAUGUAACCUAGUUCCGCCAGGAUGCGGGAAGCCAAAAGUCCAGAACACGGAUAAUUCAUAUAAAGCCAGUGGGUGUCUUGGCUAAACCUUCCAAACCAGCCGGGAGUGUUGUCGUUUGCUGGUACGUAGUUGAAGGUCGGCAUGGUGAAGGUAUACUUCACGCCAUCCAGUGACGCAGUCUCGCCUAGUCCCGAAAGGAAUAGGGACAGGGGCUCAGGGAUGUGAGUUCCUGCGUGAUCCAUGGCUCUGAUAGUCUCUUUCCAGGAUGGUGGUGCUACGGGGGCUCAAAUCUGCGAGCUUCAGAACUCGCGCGAUGGCGUGGAGCCCAGCGUAGUAAUUUUUUUUUUAAUUGAUAAUAGUUUAUUGAAUAACAAAUAAAAUAAAAAAUCUUUCAGGUGAAACAUUUAUAGGCAUUGGUAAAAAAGUAAACAAGAGAAAUAGCAAUUGGGGUUUUGUUCCUGCGGCGAGUCAUAUUAGCACGUCUAGCGGUAAGGGGAGUGAGUCUUCCACGGCCUUUGCGAGGCAUGACAGAAGAUGAAAUUAUAAUUAUAAUCAAAUGAAUCAGAAAUACGAAAUAUAUAUUAUAAAUUAGUAAAAGGUAAUAAGACAAAAGAACGCAUUUUAAAAAUAAACAAUUCGAUGCCCAGCGUAGUAUGCGAAUGUCCCAGGUGAGACACGCUUGGCGAAGGAUGCCCCGGCUGCAACCAGGCGCAUAUAAGUUUCUGUCACCAAGGUGUUCCACCCGAAGAACCCCGGAUGUUUAAGGCUGUAGCCUGGCUCAGGGUAGAGGUUGGAGUCCUGGGCUACGCCUAACGCCUCUUUCCAGAGGGGGUCAUUCCUGAGUGGGGUACUCGUCGUUGAGGGGUGUGCAGGCUUCGGCAUCUCUGUGAUCCGAUCCUGACCCCUUGGGGGAGGUGGAGCCGUUGCUGCGGAGUCCACCCGAUUUCUGGCCUUAUUCUUGCCGCCCUUAAAAGAGCGAGAGGGAGGUGCAGAUCUCUCCUCGUUUCGUGGCUGGCGGCUGACACCGCUACGCCACUCGGCCUGUUCUGGGGCUGAAUCAUCAGGCUGAUUCGAGCCACGCCCCCAAUUUCUCCCUUUUCCUCUGUAAGACAUAGUUGCACAGUCUUUUGAUGGAAUUUUCUUUGUGCAGGAAGUAGCACAAGGUUACUUUGGCAGUUUUGAAUUUACUUAAAUAGGGAUCGCCGUCUGGCUAACCUAAAUUUACUCAUGUAAAAAUGGGUAAAACUGUGGUAGUAGGUGUUACAGGGGCAAGGUGCACAUUUUAGUAGUAGGGGGGAGGUGGGUAGAGGGAUUUGGUUGGGCAGCCAAAAACAGUGAGGAUGAAUAUUCUAGCUCAUGGAUCCUACGUGUGUAGGAAUCUCUGAGGGUGGCUAUAAUUUUGUCGAGGUGUGACAUGACAAAUGCGCCAAGAUUGCUGUCUGUGUCACUGAUAUGGUGACACAGCAUUGUACAGUUUUUGGCCGCCCAAUCGAAUGCCUGGUACAAGGAUGACGUGUUGGAGGUAAUAGAGUAGGGCAAGGAGGGUGGAGGUGAGGUCAAUGUGAAGUCACGUGGUGACAAAUUUAGGUCCUGUUCUGAGCUUGAGUUUGAUGUGGCUGAUGGAGGAUGGAUAGGGGUGGAAGCACUUACCCCAGGCCGGCUGCUAUGGAUGAGGUUACCUCCAAUUGUUGGGUCCAAUAGGGAGUCGAACAUUCUGGUGACGACCUUCUGGUAGGCUGAGUUGGAUAUGGGAGAAGAGGAGUCUUGGGAGGAAGACUGAGAGCCCCCAGGUGAGAAGGAGGCGACGGAGGGAGGGGGUGGAGGUGUAGUCUCUGGAGGAAGCGCUGAGAUGGAGGCACGUGUCAGAGCAGGCUUUUUGCUAGUUGUCUGGCGGCGGGCGUGCGGCUGUUGGGGGGCGUACUGGCAGGUACGCGGCGGUGGGCGGAGGAGCCGCCGCUCAGGGGGGAAGGCAAAGGAGCCAGCUUGGUAGAGGGACGAAGUGUCCUCGUCUGAAGGGAGAAGGCAAGUGGCAGUGUGCGGCCGCUCAGGAGAACCCGCGUAUUGAUUGGCAAAAAUAAAUUCCGGGAGGGAGAAUCGGCGUUUGGCGGCCGCUCAGGAGGUCCAGAAAUAAUUAAUUAAUUUUCUCGGUUGGCAGGGUGCCCAGGAGUGUAUUCAGGUGGAAUACUCAGUCGCAGGAGCACAGAGGCACUGGAGUACAAGAAGUCUCGGGCACUGUAGAGUUGUAUAAAAAAGUAAAAAUAAUUUUUCCUAUUUUAGCAACCUUGAUUAAUAUGACACCACUAAUAACGUGGAUGUCCUUACUUCAUGCAGUAUCCCUGUGCCUUACCACAGGUGGGGGGUCACUAGGGACUGGCGAGAAGCGAUCCUAAAUCAAGGAAAGCUUUUAACUUCAGAAGUAUCCAGAAUCCUUACCACUGGUGGGGGGAAUGUCUGGACUCGCUGAAGUUAUCGAGAGAACUGAUUAGCAGCAAAUUAGCGCUGUUUUAUAAGGCACCCAAAGUCUAAACCUGGGUAGCUGAGAGCCAAUCAAAAUGGAGCGUUGAUAGCGACCGCUUUGGAACAAAUUGCUGACAUUGGCCACUUUUAUCUUUCUUUUAAAAAUUAUUUUCAAUUUUUUUUUUUACCCUGUGUAUUUUGGCUUUUAAUGUGUGAAAACAAUACAACCACAACCUGCUCUUCAGUUUUCUCAGUAGGAAUCCCGAAUAUAGCAAGCCUGGGCUUGAAUGUAGGAUUCGUCCCCACUGAACCUGUUGGCGCACUUAACAUUGUCCACAAACCUCUUUUUUUUCAGAGGAGUUGGCGAAGUGGAGGACAAGUUUCUUGUCCCCUCCAGUCACAGCGGCUACAUCAACAUUCUUUAAACUGGGAGUUUGGGCGAUUUUUGUCCCGAUUUCACUAACAGACAGCUCCACGUGAUAAAUGCUGUUACACAGCAUAUGCACGUAACUUGGUCGUGUAGGUUUGGUUGGCUUAACACCAACAUUGGUUGGCUGGGUGACUUUUGUUACCACAGUGGCUGGUUUGGGUGGUGGUGCAGGUUUGCAUUUUUAGCAGAGGCUGCGUAUUGCGCCCUAAUCUCAGCAAUUUUAAGAUCGCAACCCUUCAAUUUCUGUUUGAAAACGUCCACAACGGUGGUCUGUAGUUGGCAAAGUAGCAUUUCCAUUUUGCCGUAUAAUUUUUUAAUAGCUGAAGAACCCAGUUCCCCACCUAGUCCUACAUCAACUUCAUAUUGUAGGAUCUGCCUAAAGCUGUUGAAUGUGAGUGGAAUCUCUUCCCACCCUUCCCUAAAGGCUGUGUUGGAGUCAGAAGGUGUGAUAGGAGGAGAGGAAGUGACCCAGGGAGACUCAUUAUUUUGGAGAGCUUGACCUGGGCUAGACGCGGAAGUACCCGCCGCGUUGAUAAUGGUAAUCCAAGAGGGUAUCCCAAGUGGUGUGUGUUCUUUUUUUUUAUCCAGGGGAGAGGGCAAUUCUCGAUGCACACUGGACGGUCACAAAUUGAGAAAAAAAAAAGAUGAUUAGAUCCUGAGCCCUCUCUCUCCCUCCUUCAGAAAUCUGGUUGUUCUGUGGAAGACUUAACACACUCCUAACGGCCCUGCGAGCGGUUCUCCACACGCCCUCGGCCUUCUGAGUAGCCCUUUGGAGCAGAUAAAAUUCCGGUUUCCACCAAGAUGCAUUUUUUAUUUUGCCAGGUUUAUUUGGCUUGGAAGGAAUGGUCUGUCUGCAUGAAUGAAACACUUCAUCUCUAAGUAAUGUAAUAAUAUUAUCGAGUUGAAAUGUGUAACUCACUCUAUCUAUCAGGAACUGGUCGGCGCGGCCAAAGCUGAAGUGUACUUCGCUAAAAUUUAUUCAGAAUGACAUUACUAUUAUUGCUAUUGGAUGAGGGCUCGAAAUUGAUGUUGUUUAUGGUCAGAUAAAACAUGGUUGAUCGCGUUGCAAUCAGCGAUCCUGUCCACGAGACCAGCACAGCAACAGGUCGCAUCGAUGGAUGAGGACAUGUUGCGUUCCUCCCACGUAAUGGUACCAUGCUUGUUGACCAUAUGGAGUAGGUUGGCAUCAGAGAAAUUCUCUACAGCAUCUCUUUUAGGGCAAGUGAAUCUAAGCAACCGGGCUUUAUUUGACCAUCUGUAAGAUUCAAUAUUUGAAUCGCCGCAGAAAAUUGCCUCGUGGUAAUUAAUAGAUUUGAGAGAGAUGUCUAUCCUAUUCAAAAGAUUGCCAACAUAACAUGAUGGCGAAAGAUAGACAUUACACAGAAGUAUGCACAAGUUGUUAACUUCACACAGGACAAACGCAGCGUUAAAAGGGUAGAAAUAUAUGCCUUGUUGUCACAGGCCUCGGACAGAUGUGCACCAGUGCAGUGGCCGCAUUUGGCCGCCCUGGUACACUUCUUUCCGUUGGUGUGGGUCCUGUGAUUCAGGCUGCCACAGACACCGCAGGGAAAGACGCGCUUAGCCCUUGCGAGUCUCAGGAAGAGGUAGUCUAUUGUGAUACUACCGCGAUCGAGUAGAGCAGUCUCAACUUCCUUAUUCACCUCAACUAUCGCGGUGGAGGAGGAUCCCUCUUUUCUAAUCAGUUUUACCAUCCUGAUGUCGUCGCCGCUUUUCAGCAGCUUUUCGACAGCGGGAUGGCAUCUGAUGUCAGCCACAAGCUGCUCCUCGGUUUUCUCUCCAGGAAUACCAAAGAUAGCUAGCCUGGGCUUGAAUGUAAGGUUCGUUUGGACUGACAUUGUCUGGCGGCGUGGUUUUCGUCACAGGGUGAUUUGGGAGUUGAAUUGGCAGCGGGUUUUGCUGCAGGAGCGGGAAUAGCGGCGGUAGCGGCCUUAAGCUUUUUUUCGUAAGCCUCUCGGAGUUCCUCCGUUUUUAAGUCACAGGCUUUGAGUUUUCUAGAUAGUAUCCCAAAAACGGAGUUUUCUAGGCUUGAAAGCAUACCGACCUUAUCGAAAAUGGUACAGUAAGGAGCUGUGCCUUGUUCCCCUUUUAAAGCCAUUUCUAUUUCUCCAACAACCAUCCUGGUGCACCCUGUGAAACACGUAUUAAUCUCUUCCCGCCCUUUCCUAAAAGCAUGAUUCGAGUCAAGUGGCCCUAUAGGAGUAGGAGCAGAAGGAGAUACCCGGGGAAACUCACCAUCGGGAAAUAACUCCGUAGUCACAGGCCCGGCUCCAGUGCCAGGAGGGUUCAUCGACCGAGCGUCGCUUUUUUAUGUAUUGAUGCAUCACAGCAUCUAGCCAGAGAGGGUCCAUUGUGCCAGCGGCAGGUCCAGUCAAGGGAGGGUCCGAGGAGCCUCGCGUGUAAGCUAUCGGGUAUCUCGUAACUCAAAUCUGUGUGGCUCAUGCCGAACAUGAAACACGAAUGAAAAUUCCACGACCCCUCAGCUAUAUAUAUAUUCCGGCCGCUCCCUCCAUUUUCAUUGGCUGAUCCUCCCGGCAACUUUGUGUGUGUGGCAAACAGACGGUCAUCUAAUGCCCUUAACUAAAAUAAGCUUCAUUUGUUUUCCUUUCCUUAGAAAGAGAAGCUUUGUUUUUCAUAUCUGAGGAUAUAGCCAUGUUGAAUAACCUCCAUUGAAUAAGUCCAUAUGUGCGAGGAAUGAGGUUUCGGCGGCUUUGAUGUCCGGGCAGGAGAGUGAGUCUGCCCGGUGUUGGUUGCUGCAGCGGAAGCAUUUGAGGGGAAUGGCGGUGCAGUUGGUGGCCCACAGUGGAAGCACUUGGGUGGAGUGUUGCUGAUGAUGUUGCGGUGACGUAGGUCACUGCAAUUGCGGCAGGGGUGUGUGGAUCGGGUCCGCUCAAAACAGAAAUUACACACCUUCCGCUGUAAGCUUGAAGGCAAGCUUUUUCAGAGAAAACCUUGAAGACAAUCACAACACAGCCAUCUAGGUAACAGGCCCGCUGGAGGAAAAUGAUUUCUGGUAGACACAAGUAGAUUGUGGGAGCAUCGACAAUGGGAAGUGAAAGCUUUGGAGAGUUGGAUAGGGGUCGUGGCUGAGGGAAAAAGGCUUCACCAAGUACUCACUGCAAGUAAAGUUAGUGGUUGCUUUAUUGGGUUCAAAUUCAGGGAACAACAAUUAAUGUUGACGUGAAAGGGUUUACAUGGUAGCUAUUUACACACAUCAGGUUGUCGGGAUGGGUGAUACAUGGGCCCGGGAUGUGCUGGUUGACAGUCAAUAUGAACAAGUUGGUACAGAUGGGUACGAUGAGGAAGGGAUGACAGAAGUUUACAAAAUAUAUGUACAACAAACAAAAUGAGAAAGAUAAACAACAAGGGGGAAUGUGGGAACGUAUGACAGACUAGGGGCUAUGGAUUACAAUAGGGAAAAAUCAUCAGACUGUGGAAUAUUUUCGGGCACAAACCUACCACAGUUGUUGCCGAAUUCACACUCAGAAUGCCAAAGAACACUGGAGUCGGCGAACUCAGAGAGGGUGGUUGGAAUUUAAAUCUCUCUUCAGAAACUGGCUUGUUGAAAUAAGCUUCUUCGUCCAAGUUUCCAACAGAAUCUCUUUUGGAGGAAAUAAAUUUAAGCAACCGUGCUUUAUUUGACCAUCUGUCAAAAAAUUACCUCGUGGAAAUUGAUUGAUUUUAAAGAGGUCCUGUCAAGAAGGGCGUCAGGACAACAUGAUGGCGAAAGACAAACAGUACACAGAGGGAUUGACAUGUCAUUCACUUCACAUUGAACAAACAGCAUUCACACACGACAAAUGUUCAUCACCUGUUUUCCCCACAUUAUAGUUGAGAAUUUGCCAUUUGGCCCUACCUGAAGCGCGUCCACAGUGGUCCUUGCUUGUAUACCAACCUGAAGGUCAUCAGUAUCUCUUCAGUUAUUUGGAAGUUUUCUUCUCAUUUAUAUUAGGAUUAACAAAUUGUGCAACAUUUGUUCCAACAUUGUGAGCUAUUUCUUGUAUACAAAUAAAAUGUGCCCUGUCAUUUGUGAUCAUCUAUAAAUUUUGUUCGCAGAAUAUGCUCCCCCCAAUGUUGGGUUAGAAUCUUGUCAGGGGAAAAUUUCUUAGUCCUCAAAGUAUUAAUGCCUUGUAUAUUUUUGAGUAUUUUAUAAAAGCCUUAGAGAUUGAAUUGUCCUUAUUUUAUUUCCUUUUUGCACCAUAAUAAGAGCUAUCCAGAAUAUUAAAGGUUAAUGUGAUAAAUUGUAGUUUACAAUACAUACAUUAUCCCAUAUCAUUAAGAGGAGCCUACUCAUGGUAGAAUUUGUUGUGGGUCCAGUUCUAGUCUGGUGGCUUCCAUGCCUGUCUACCCACCCAUAUAGUGGAUGUACUUUGACACAAUUGUAAUCAUGGGCCAGGUUUGUGGUGGUUGGAAUGUCGCCAGUGUGACCUCUAUAUUGUCGCUGGAUUAGAGUUCUUUCUUGGGGACCAUGCUGACCCAACUAAUUCAAUUCUGGAAACCAUAGCCUUUAAUUGAUGCAAUUAUGUGGUUAUUUAAUUGAAUUUUCCCUUUUAACACUUUGCUAUAUAGAUUCUAAAAGUAUUUUGAAACCACAAACAAAAAGACACUAUACAAAACAUAAACAAAAAAAAUUUUUUUUAGACUGUAUUAUCAGUAAGGUUGACCCAAAUAGGUACUGUAAAUAAUGUCAUUAUGAUACCAGACACUUGUUAGAUUAUGACAAUGGAAUUGUUAAUAUAUAUUUAUGAUCUGUUUAUAGUGUCCUCUUUAGUUGAUUAGCUACCUAUGCAAAUUUACUUACUUAUUUCUUUGUAAUUAUGUAUAUAAUGUCAUUAUGAUACCAGACACUUGUUAGAUUAUGACAAUGGAAUUGUUAACAUAUAUUUAUGAUCUGUAUAUAGUGGCCUCUUUAGUUGAUUAGCUAGCUAUGCAAAUUUACUUACUUAUUUCUUUGUAAUUGUGUAAAUAAUGUCAUUAUGAUACCAGACACUUGUUAGAUUAUGACAAUGGAAUUGUUAACAUUUAUUUAUGAUCUGUAU